CAUCGAGUCAUCAUUUCUAAAUGGUUAUAUCGAUUGGUAUAAAAAGUUAUUCCUAUACUAUCGACUUAGAUUCGAACCUAUGGGGUCACACGCAUGAGAAAAUUUGAUCAAAUCAAAUGGCUGAAGAGUCCAAUUGGAUUGUGACUCUGGUUAAGAGUCCUACUCGAACUAGGACUCUAUGGGAGAGUCCCACUGGGAUUGAG
rnacentral:lncRNA from 1 species